rnacentral:rRNA from 1 species
UACGGAGGGUGCAAGCGUUAUCCGGAUUCACUGGGUUUAAAGGGAGCGCAGGCGGAUUGGUAAGUCAGUGGUGAAAGGCUUAAGCUUAACUUGGGAACUGCCAUUGAUACUAUCAGUCUUGAAUGUUGUUGAGGUUUGCGGAAUGGGUCAUGUAGCGGUGAAAUGCAUAGAUAUGACCCGGAACACCUAUUGCGAAGGCAGCAGGCUAAACAAAUAUUGACGCUGAGGCUCGAAAGCGUGGGGAUCGAACAGG